GGAUGUCUGACAAUCUGUAUGCUUUGUCCUUUUUUAAGAAGCUUCAUGCUUGGAAGACCCUCAGCUAAAACUCCUGAAGAGGAGCAUUUCCCUAUUUGAACAGAAGUUUUUAAGGAUUCUUUCCUUGGUCUGUACAGUAAGUGUUUAAAAAAUCAUUUUAAUAUAUAUUUUGUUCAGUGUGCUAUAGAUUUAUCACAAGUCUAAUUAAAAUCUGAAGCAAGUACUUUUGUAUUAUUUAUAAAACUUCUUAGAACACAGUAUCAUAAAUGAAAAUGAUUUGAUCUUAAAACUCUACAGGUCAAGCCCAGGGCAAAGGGGCCCUGAUUUAUUUGGAAAUUGAAUGAAAACAGAGGAUAGGUAUUUAUUAUUUUAAAAAAUAAUUCCAGCUUUCCCAUAAUCCUAGGCACUGAGGCCAUUAUAAAGGAGAAUGAAUUUUGGUGCACAAGUAGCAGACUGUGUUUUGAAAAACUGCUCUCGUGUUAUAUUAAAAGCUUAAAAACUGUUCACCAGAAUUUCUGUCUCCCCCCAACUCACAUUAUAAUUUUCAAACUUAUGAAAGCUACGAGAAACUUCAACCCAAGGAAAGUGCAUAGGAAUGGAGAUCAAUUUAAGCUGUACUGCUCAAAAAGGGGAAAAAUCUGUUGAUGGUCCUACAAAUGUCAUUGGCAAGAAAAAGAAAAGGCUAAAGGCUCUGCUGGAGUGACUCCAUUGACUCCCAUGGCUUUCGUGGGCUUCAAUUUGCAAAACAGACAGAAGAAGAGAAAACCCUUCCUCCACCUCUCUCCCCUGCAAUUCUUGAAAGUGACAUCUGUGCAGUGCUGCAGGAAAGAUUACACAUCUUAGGCUUAUUUUUUUUUAUCCUGCCACUCCCAAUUUACUCAUGCCCACU
rnacentral:lncRNA from 1 species